GGAAGUCACCAGGGUGGUCCCUUCAAGCUGCAGACGGAUCCGUGCUCGCAAGGCAGUCUCUUUCCGCGCCACCACGGCAGGGAAGUCCUCCGCCCAUCAGCACCCUGGAGCCCCGUGAGAGGGCGUGUUCUGAGGCCUCAGACGUAGUGCUGCUGUGGACCACGGGCGAGAGAGAAAGAGUGGGCUUCCGCCUCUGUGGAUGAUCUUGAAACACCCGUGGUUUGGGCUCCGGGCUUUGGACGUUGGGUUUCUUUACCGCCUUUCUUCCCACACAAGCAGAACCUGUCUGAAGAGACUGGCUGGAAAGAACUGACCGCGGCCGUUUUCCCACUGUGAUGAAAGCACCUGGCACAGUUGUCCAAAGAAAGUAGACCAUUUUUCUUGGUGAAGAGAAACCUACCUGCCAUUCUCCGAGG